rnacentral:rRNA from 1 species
UAUUGGUCAAUGGGAGGAAUCCUGAACCAGCCAUGCCGCGUGCAGGACGACGGCUCUACGAGUUGUAAACUGCUUUUGUACCGGGGUAAAAUGCCUUACGAGUAGGGUUUUGAAAGUACGGUACGAAUAAGGAUCGGCUAACUCCGUGCCAGCAGCCGCGGUAAGACGGAGGAUCCGAGCGUUCUCCGGAUUCAGUGGGUUUAAAGGGUGCGUAGGUUGUUUUAUAAGUUAGCGGUGAAAUACCGAUGCUCAACAUCGGGGCUGCCGCUAAUACUGUAGGACUAGAGAUCGGAUGCAGCAGGCGGAAUGUGUAGUGUAGCGGUGAAAUGCAUAGAUAUUACACAGAACACCGAUUGCGAAGGCAGCUUGCUAGGCCGGAUCUGACACUGAUGCACGAAAGCGUGGGGAUCGAACAGGA